GCCCCGGUCCAUGUACUCCACCAGGAUGGAGACGUGCAGCGCCCGCGCCAGCGCGAUGAUGUGGAUGUGGUCGCUCUCCUUGCACAUGGGCUCCACCUCCUGCAGACAGACAGAUGGACAGAGAGUGGUCAGUGUGGUCAGUGAGGUCAGUGAGGUGUGAGGGACAGAGGGACAGCCAUGAUGUGGAUGUGGUCGCUCUCCUUGCACACGGGCACAUGCCCAGGUGCCUCAGGUGCCCCAGACA
rnacentral:lncRNA from 1 species